ACUGUGUCUCAAUAGUAAUUUAAGCUAGCACGAGAGGCACCGUUGAUUCACACAAAUGGUAAUCAUGCUUGGUUGGCAAGCUACCGCUGCAACUACCACAUGUUGGAUUAUGACUGAAUUCCCCUAAGGCCGCGUUCGGGCUAGAUACGUUGUAAUGCGCUUGUCGUCCACUUGCUGACUGUAUGAACCUCUGGCCUCAAGAGUACAUGUUACAGUCUAAGUCAUUGAAGCGGAAAGUGUCACGUUGGCCGCCUUGAAAUACAAUUUUUGUUGAGCUGCAGGUGAAGUUUUAAUUGCAGACAACUUACGUGAAAUUUUAUUUGCGGACAACUUAAAUACAUGACAAGGCAUUUGUAAGUGACCGAGUGUUGUUGCGACUAUGUCCCAUUGAGAUUCAGGUCCUUGUCGCUUUAAUG
rnacentral:ncRNA from 1 species